GCCGUAAACGAUGGAAACUCACUGCCGAGCGAAAUACAACGAGCGGUGGUCAAGCUAACGCGUGAAGUUUCCCGCCUGGGGAUUACGCUUGCAAAAGUGAAACUCAAAGGAAUUGACGGGGACCCGCACAAGCGGUGGAGUAUGUGGUUUAAUUCGAUGCAACGCGAAGAACCUUACCAGGGUUUGAAAUCAUUUCAAAACUCCUUGAAAGAGGAGCCUCCUUCGGGAUGAAAUGACAGGUGGUGCAUGGCUGUCGUCAGCUCGUGUUGUGAAAUGUCGAGUUAAGUCUCGUAACGAGCGCAACCCAUGUCUCUUGUUGCUCACUGAGUGCUUAAGAGAGACUGCCGACCAACAUCGGAGGAAGGUGUGGAUGAUGUCAAGUCAGCAUGCCCCUUACAUCCUGGGCUACACACGUACUACAAUGGUAGGGACAAUGAGCUGCGAUCCUGCGAAGGCUAGCCAACCUCAAAAACCCUAUCUCAGUUCGGAUUGUACUCUGCAACUCGAGUACAUGAAGGUGGAAUCGCUAGUAAUCGCUGGUCAGCUAUACAGCGGUGAAUACGUUCCCGGGUCUUGUACACAC
rnacentral:rRNA from 1 species